rnacentral:lncRNA from 1 species
AGCUUCCUAACAGAACCUAUGUAAGACAACCUAUAUACUCGUAGGGUAUGCAUUUAACAUAAAAACAAAAAAAAUUGUUAUGGCUAAUUAGAUAGAAAUAAAUAAAAGAAAGACAAAAAAUUUGUUAUGGCUAAUUAGAAAGAAAAAAAUAAACGAAACGGUAAGGAUUCCUUCUCACACUUAAACAAAGCAUUGUCCUCAAUGCGACAAAAUAAAGUGAGAAAAAGGGAG